GAGGGAGGUUGUUCGGUCGUUUGAGAGUGAUACGAUUAAUCUCUUUGGCGGCAAGAUUUGGGAAGAGAGAGGGCGAUGGCGAUGGAGCCACUUGUAAACGCAUUCUCGGUGUUGGAGCUCGAUGUUGAAGACGAUCAAAUUCCCUCUCUUUCUACUUCCUCCAAAGAUGACGCUACUGCUUCUUCCCCUUCAAGAACAGGAAAAAGCAAGAAGGAAGUUAAUAUCUCUGGUGAUAUUCUGGCAGG
rnacentral:misc_RNA from 1 species